UGGGGAAUCUUGCGCAAUGGACGAAAGUCUGACGCAGCAACGCCGCGUGAGUGAAGAAGGCCUUCGGGUUGUAAAGCUCUGUCGGAUGGGACGAACAACACUAUGGUUAAUAGCCAUGGUGCCUGACGGUACCAUUAAAGGAAGCACCGGCUAACUCCGUGCCAGCAGCCGCGGUAAUACGGAGGGUGCAAGCGUUACUCGGAAUUAUUGGGCGUAAAGGGUAGGUAGGUGGUCUGAUUUGUUCGAUGUGAAAGCCUUGGGCUUAACCUGAGAAGUGCAUCGAAAACGGUCAGACUAGAGUUUUGGAGAGGGUCGUGGAAUUCCCGGUGUAGCGGUGAAAUGCGUAGAGAUCGGGAGGAACACCAGAGGCGAAGGCGGCGACCUGGACAAUGACUGACAC
rnacentral:rRNA from 1 species